rnacentral:rRNA from 1 species
AUUGAACGCUGGCGGCAGGCCUAACACAUGCAAGUCGAGCGGAAGAAGGGUGCUUGCUCCUGGAUCCAGCGGCGGACGGGUGAGUGAUGCCUAGGAAUCUGCCUGGCUGUGGGGGAUAACGUCCGGAAACGGGCGCUAAUACUGCAUACGUCCUGCGGGAGAAAGUGGGGGAUCUUCGGAACUCACGCUAUCAGAUGAGCGUAGGUCGGAUUAGCUAGUUGGUGGGGUAAAGGCCUACCAAGGCGACCAUCCGUAACUGGUCUGAGAGGAUGAUCAGUCACACUGGAACUGAGACACGGUCCAGACUCCUACGGGAGGCAGCAGUGGGGAAUAUUGGACAAUGGGCGGAAGCCUGAUCCAGCCAUGCCGCGUGUGUGAAGAAGGUCUUCGGAGUGUAAAGCACUUUAAGUUGGGAGGAAGGGCAGUAAGUUAAUACCUUGCUGUUUUGACGGUACCAACAGAAUAAGCACCGGCUAACUUCGUG